UACGUAGGGUGCAAGCGUUGUCCGGAAUUAUUGGGCGUAAAGAGCUCGUAGGCGGUUUGUCGCGUCUGCUGUGAAAACUCGGGGCUUAACCCCGGGCCUGCAGUGGGUACGGGCAGACUAGAGUGCGGUAGGGGAGACUGGAAUUCCUGGUGUAGCGGUGAAAUGCGUAGAGAUGCGGAGGAACACCGAUGGCGAAGGCAGCCCCCUGGGCCAACACUGACGCUCAGGCACGAAAGCGUGGGGAGCAAACAGG
rnacentral:rRNA from 1 species